UUCUAGAGCUAAUACAUGCGCAAAUCCCGACUUCUGGAAGGGACGUAUUUAUUAGAUAAAAGGCCAGCCGGACUUCGGUCCGUCCUGUGUUGAAUCAUGAUAACUUCACGAAUCGCAUGGCCUUGUGCCGGCGAUGUUUCAAUCAAAUAUCUGCCCUAUCAACUUUCGACGGUAGGAUAGAGGCCUACCGUGGUUCUUACGGGUGACGGAGGAUCAGGGUUCGAUUCCGGAGAGGGAGCCUGAGAAACGGYUACCACAUCCAAGGAAGGCAGCAGUCGCGUAAAUUGCCCAAUCCCGACACGGGGAGGCAGUGACAAUAAAUAACAAUACCGGGCAUUCAAUGUCUGGUAAUUGGAAUGAGUACAAUAUAAAUCUCUUAACGAGGAUCCAUUGGAGGGCAA
rnacentral:rRNA from 1 species